UACGGGGGGGGCAAGCGUUGUUCGGAAUUACUGGGCGUAAAGGGCGCGUAGGCGGUUCGCUAAGUUGAAUGUGAAAACUCUGGGCUUAACCCAGAGCCUGCAUUCAAUACUGGCGGGCUAGAGUUCUGGAGGGGAUAGCGGAAUUCCUGGUGUAGCGGUGAAAUGCGUAGAUAUCAGGAGGAACACCGGUGGCGAAGGCGGCUAUCUGGACAGAGUCUGACGCUGAGGCGCGAAAGCUAGGGGAG
rnacentral:rRNA from 1 species